rnacentral:rRNA from 1 species
UACGGAGGUGGCAAGCGUUGUUCGGAAUUACUGGGCGUAAAGGGCGCGUAGGCGGCUUGGCAAGUCAGAUGUGAAAGCCCCGGGCUUAACUCGGGAAUUGCAUCUGAAACUGCCUUGCUUGAGUCCUGGAGGGGGUAGUGGAAUUCCCAGUGUAGCGGUGAAAUGCGUAGAUAUUGGGAGGAACACCAGCGGCGAAGGCGGCUACCUGGACAGUGACUGACGCUGAGGCGCGAAAGCUAGGGGAGCGAACGGG